ACUGCUGCGAUGAAAAAGAGGAGUAAUUUGUUCUAUUUUUUAGAGAGUUGAUGUCAGGUGGAAAUCAACAUUUAGAAUAAAUGAAGGCGCUUUCGAGCUAUGCAUACUAAAGUGGGUCAUUUUGACCAACUAGGGUGGAACCGCGGAAUAAUCUUUCGUCCCUUUU
rnacentral:ncRNA from 1 species